CCAGUCUUUGACUUGCUGGGGAUAUCAAUCCCGACUCUGCUUUGGGAACCCUCACAGAUACCUGACGACUUCACCGGGGAAAUGCUCACAGAUACUCCGCUGGGGAAAUAGCAAUCUCCAGGCCCAUUGACUGGGGAAGCAUCAAUCUAUCACCUGCUAGGGAUAACCAUCCUGACCCUGCUAGGGAAACGAAUGCUACUCCGCUGGGGACAACCCAUGCAAUCCAUAGGUAGAAUCAACUCAGCUGGGGAUGCAGAUAUCAGUCCGCUACGGAAACUCGUCCAAUCCACUAAUAGGAUGAACACUGCUGGAGAUAUAUUUCAUUGAAACCCGCUCCACUCGGGGAUUAGCAACCUUCU
rnacentral:lncRNA from 1 species